AAAACUUUUCAAAACCCGAUCGCAAACUCCAACACCCCUCGAAUCACCCCGCAAUGGCGGGCUCUCUCUUUCCCGCUCCGAAACAUUAAACCCUAGCUCCGCGCACCAUUUCCCGAAUCCCCAACCCAGCGAUCCGCCUCCAGCGCCGGGCCCCAAUCACUGUGCGACCACGAUGAGGCCGCUGCCGAAGAAACCAAAUGCAGCGCUGCCGGUGCCGAAGCAACUCAAGGUGCAUCACCCGGAAAAUGAGUCCCUCUCUCGUUUCUUCCUAGAGAAGUGGCGGGCGAUGAUGCAGGAGCCGGAUGGGCUCUCGCAGAACAACUACCUGGCCUUCGCCAACGCCAACCGCAGCCUCUGCUCCUCCAAGGAGCCAAUCCGGACCCUCAAGGACUUCUCGAACGUCAAGGGUGUGGGAACAUGGCUCAUAAAUCAUAUGAAAAGUUUCUUUGAAAAGUCGAGUCAGGAUUUAUCUCCUGCCAAAGGAAAGAAAGCAAAAGGGACAAAAAGUUAUUUGCCAAGGAAGAACACUGCUGCUUAUGCCAUACUAAUAACACUCCAUAGGGCAAAGACUAGCGGGAAAGAUUUUAUGAUGAAACAAGAGCUUAUUGAUGCUGCUGAAGCCAGUGGACUGUCACGAGACGCGAUUGGUCCAAAUAAAAGUAAAGCAAAACAGAGUUACGGGAAGGACUGGUACACUGGUUGGAGCUGCAUGAAGACACUUCUAUCCAAUCGACUUGUCACCAAGUGGAGUAACCCAGCAAAGUAUAUGCUAACACAAGAAGGGGAAGGCACUGCACGUGACUGUCUUUCACGGUCUGGAUUAGAUGAUUCUGCACGGCCUCUAACGAUAAUUGGUGCUCACAACACAUCUGCUAUGGAUCCUUCUGUUGCCAGGCACAGUCCUGAGCUUGUCAGCGACAGUUCUCUGACAAAAAAGAAGAGCAAUUGCUACCGUCAAGUUCAAGCUACUAAUUACGAAGGAAUCAUUUGUUGCGAUUCAGAUUCAGAAGAGCCAUGUGGAAAGGACAUUCCCCUAAAAGGCAUGGAGCCUAUUACUAGUUGUGGACCACCAGAUAUUUCUCGUCCAUUCCAAGGAACACCCAAACUGCAAUCUUCUACAAUGGGUUCUGCUAAACUAGCUAUGCCACCUCGUCGAGCCAAUGAAAACUUUCUUGAAGCCUAUGAAGUUAUUUUAAUAUUGGAUGACCGUGAAAAAUUCGGGUCUCGUUCAAGAAAAGUUGCUGAUAACAUUUGUUCCCUGAGCCAUUUUGCUGUGGAUGUCAGGCAAUUGCCUGUGGGAGAUGGUAUUUGGAUUGCCCGUCAUAAGGAAGAUCACACAGAGUAUGUUCUUGAUUUCAUUGUUGAAAGGAAAGAGGUUAUGGAUUUAGAUGGCUCAAUUGAAGACAACCGAUAUAGAGAUCAGAAAUUAAGGAUGAAGAAAUGUGGGCUGAGGAAGUUGAUAUAUCUUGUUGAAGGUGAUCUCAACCGUGCACCAAAGAGGGUUAAAACAGCGUAUGUGCACUGCUCAAGUCACCUGGGAGAUCAAUACUAUGCUGUUUCACCACUGAGAUUCUCGAUGGAUUUGAUGUUCAGAGAACUACUGGGUUUGCCGAUACCCAGAAGAGAUAUGUUGAUCUUACACGUUCGGUAAUAGCAUACUAUGAUGCAAGUUUCUCGAUCGUUGGUAAAGCUUCCCCUGUUUGCCCAACCUACGAUGACUUCAAGAGAAAGUGUUAUGAUCUUAAGAAGAAAACAGUGAGCGACAUAUUUGGCUGUCAGCUUAUGCAGGUACCACAAGUAACAGAAGAAGCUGCACAAGCUGUUGUAGAGCUCUAUCCAACCCCUUUGUUACUGGCAAAGGCAUACUCUAUACUUGGUGGCGAUACCUCUGCACAAGAGAAGAUGCUAAAGAAGAAGAACGAGAUGGUAAAUGCAGGAGCAAGCCGAAACAUAUUUCACCUUAUCUGGGGUGACGGAUGAAAAAUACUCUGGACUGGAACCAGUUGCGGGCCAACUGAACUUUGGUGGCUUAUGGUGUCACCGUCGUGGUGACCAUCUUUUGUGUCUCCGAGAUUUAGAGGCUCCCAUGUUCUAAAGCAAAUAGUGGCUCCAUAGAACACUAGGGAUCUAGAUUAGGAAGAGUUUCUCUCUACGUCGCGUCUAGAGAGUACUCUGCUGUGGUGUCGUGGUUGCACAGUGGAAUGAAGUGGUCCCUUGGAUUUA